rnacentral:lncRNA from 1 species
ACAGAACCGGUUCUCCCCUCCAAGACUCUGAGACUCUGGCACUCACUUAACAGCCAGUCUGCCCUGUGCUGCUGCCCUGAGCACACAUUUACAGAGGCUUCCUUCUGGGCCGUGUGGGAUGGAUGCAAGAGGCCUGUGGCCCAAUGAGGACCCUGGUCCAGUGAAAUUUCUCUCUGCCCUUUCUUACUAAACAAGGCACAGGCUGGUGGUGAGCCGUGUUGAUCAGAAGCCACAUGAUGGCUGGUGGCCACAUGAGGCCGAAGAGAUGAAGUCACCAGCCACGUGGCUUCCCAGACAGCUAGCUGGUGUUGGUGAGCACACAGCAAAAGGAGGCAGACCAAAUUAACCAGACCUGGUGACUUGUCUUCAUCUGGGAACAGUAAUUAACACACUGAACUCUUCUUAUGUGCUGGGGGCUGUUCUAAACAUUGUUCUAGUGCAUCUCAUUCAUGUUCUACACAUGCAUUAUCUAACUUGGUAACAUCGUUCCUGAUUUUACAGAUGAAGACUUUGAGCCGCUAAGACAUGACAUCACUUGGCCAAGGUCACACAGCUUCUGGGGCCAGUGAUCUAUUUUGCCUUUGUGAAGAAGAGGGAACAUGCAUUGCACUUUUCUGAAGGACAAACGAGCCGAUGCCAGGGAUGCUUUCAAAAAAGCCGAUUUCAGGCCCGUUGCUGAGAUCACCACCCAUUCAGGAAACGUCCUCAGCGCUGAAUGCGCUUCUGUGUCUCAGCACACGUCGUAAGCGAUGCUCAUCACAAUGACCCCAGGGAAAGGUUAAUUUGUGUUUUGCAAGCUCUGUUUAAUAAGGUGGGGGAGUGAGGAACAAGUUUUAAAACGAUCUCCAUCAAAGCCAAAUUACCAAAUUUAAACACUUGAAGGAAUUAACCCCUCUCUCUAAAAAGCUUGGCUGUUCUGCUAACUCAUUCUGGAGCAUGCUUAGCUGUAAACAUUGUCCCCUCUGGAGGGCUCCGCUCUUAUGUCACCGGUGUUGCUGUUACAUCUGUGAAACAGGAACGAGCAAUCUCACCGUGAUUUUGCUGACAAGUGCUCCCCGAAGAUGGCGGGGGUCACGUGGCAAAUAAAGAAAGUUAACAUUGAUUGUUGAGAAGUGAAAUCCAGAUUCAGAAUCUUUCUACCGCUCUGAGACUCAAACAGAUGCAUGGCCUCUGUUCUCGAGGAAGAUGAGACUGUAGAAUGACAUAAAAAUUCUACACAUAAACAUGAGCCCAUUCACCCAAUAAGUGCGUGUUGAACACCUACAACGUGGCAGGCAGGUCCAGGUAAAUGCAUGACGCUGAAAACACAGAUGAUCUCUCCAGCAAUAAGGCCUUUCCCCUUCUCUUGUUUCCUUAAGAGUGGUGGCCAAACCAUUGACUGGUCAGUAUGUGUUGGUCCCUGAGCUUUCCUAACGUAACCCUUGUGUCCCCCAGUCUGCCCUAAUGAUGAGGAAAUGAGUCUGACUCCUAGAAUUUCUAAAGGAAAUAUACACAUGAGGCU